rnacentral:rRNA from 1 species
CAAGGCUUGACAUAUACGAGAACGCUGCAGAAAUGUAGAACUCUUUGGACACUCGUAAACAGGUGGUGCAUGGUUGUCGUCAGCUCGUGUCGUGAGAUGUUGGGUUAAGUCCCGCAACGAGCGCAACCCUCGUUCUAUGUUGCCAGCACGUAAUGGUGGGAACUCAUGGGAUACUGCCGGGGUCAACUCGGAGGAAGGUGGGGAUGACGUCAAAUCAUCAUGCCCCUUAUGUCUUGGGCUUCACGCAUGCUACAAUGGCCGGCACAAAGGGCUGCAAUACCGCAAGGUGGAGCGAAUCCCAAAAAGCCGGUCCCAGUUCGGAUUGAGGUCUGCAACUCGACCUCAUGAAGUCGGAGUCGCUAGUAAUCGCAGAUCAGCAACGCUGCGGUGGAUACGUUCCC